rnacentral:rRNA from 1 species
GGGUCAGUAGGUUGGUCGUGCGACCGGUACGUACUGGUCUCACUGAUUCCUCCUUCCUGAAGAACCGUAAUGCCAUUAAUUUGGUGUUGCGGGGAAACAGGACUGUUACUUUGAAAAAAUUAGAGUGUUUAAAGCAAGCUAACGCUUGAAUACAUUAUCAUGGAAUAAUGAAAUAGGACGAUCGAUCCUAUUUUGUUGGUUUCUAGGAUUGACGUA